GAUGAACGCUGGCGGCGUGCCUAAUACAUGCAAGUCGAGCGAACAGACGAGGAGCUUGCUCCUUUGACGUUAGCGGCGGACGGGUGAGUAACACGUGGGUAACCUACCUAUAAGACUGGGAUAACUUCGGGAAACCGGAGCUAAUACCGGAUAAUAUUUCGAACCGCAUGGUUCGAUAGUGAAAGAUGGCUUUGCUAUCACUUAUAGAUGGACCUGCGCCGUAUUAGCUAGUUUGUAAGGUAACGGCUUACCAAGGCAACGAUACGUAGCCGACCUGAGAGGGUGAUCGGCCACACUGGAACUGAGACACGGUCCAGACUCCUACGGGAGGCAGCAGUAGGGAAUCUUCCGCAAUGGGCGAAAGCCUGACGGAGCAACGCCGCGUGAGUGAUGAAGGUCUUCGGAUCGUAAAACUCUGUUAUUAGGGAAGAACAAACGUGUAAGUAACUGUGCACGUCUUGACGGUACCUAAUCAGAAAGCCACGGCUAACUACGUG
rnacentral:rRNA from 1 species